AGCUCAAGGCAACAAAAACUUCAAGACUGGAUCCAAAAAUUCUAUGCCUCCUAAAACUAAAGCUAAGUAUCCAUUACUAUAAAUUCAAAAGAUAACGCAAAUCCUAAUUCAUUUUUCUCUUAUCCUAUAGCUUCUUACACUACUGGCUAAUACCUAUGGACCUUGGGCCCAUGUGAUGGAAUCCAACUUAUAGCUAAAACGAAAAAACACGCACAUAAAUCUUACAGUUUAAACUGAUAUGCUAUGCCUAAAUACAAGGAAAGGAAUGUGAAUGGUGUAAUUUACAAACAGGUUGCGUUCCGCUGACAUUAAUAAAACAAAAGGUAAUAAUGGGAUUGAAUUUGCCCCCUUAACGAGAAACCAAAGGUCACUGAAGGACAUCUAUAACGAUACCAUGCAGGCCUCUCUUGGUUUGGCAUUUGCUUAAACAACAAGAAGGAAAACGGACGGACAGAAACGUCGCAAACGACCAUCGGAACUUGGAUCCCGUUAAGCCGUGACUUACGCCUCCUUCAUGGAUUGUGAAAAAUACACUGCUACAAUUGUAUCCAUGUAAGUUUCAUGAAUUCCUCCAUGAGACUCACGGUUUCAGCUUCCAUUAACCCAUCACCGGGGCUUACAUGGGCGGAAAAUAUGAAACAAACAUGGAACGAUUGAAACUAUAAUGAUGUGGUAAGCCUGAUCUCUCAGGCCCCAUGUUGCGGGCGCCAUUUUCUUGUCACGUACCCCCAUAGGAGGUCGCUCCACCUUUUCUCUGGAGUGGCAAUUGAUGCUGGCGGUUGAGCUCCGGCUGUGGCUCAGUGGAUGGGGCGCGGUUCUUUGCCAACACCUAUUGCCAAAAAGGAGGGACAAAAAAAAAAACUAAAAUCAACCAGCUUGUGGGUGGACAAAUACAGCGGUCGUGUUUUUCAGGUUCCUGGUUCUAAUAGCGACUGUUCCGGAUAAAUGCCAAUGGAGUCCCCGGGUAUUGUGGUCCUGGUGGCAGCCUCUGUGGCCAAUAGGGUCCCUUUUAGGUUCUCGUUUGUCCGUCCGUCCGUCUAGUCUUUGGGGUUUUCUGAUGUGCUGCUUUCUCAGCACCGUAAGGUCAACAUUGGCUGAUGGGCAAGGAAAUAUCCUCUACUAUCCACUACCUAACCUAACUAUGAGCUCAUGCUUAGGUUACUCUAUAGAACCCAACCAAAGGAAAAAACUUUUUUUAACAAAAAUAAAUCCGUCGAGAGUCAACCGUCUGUAUGCCUGUCUGUUUAUGAUCAGAGAAACUUUUUGGACUACCUUAUGGACACUGGGGUAUGCGACAGCGUCUAGGUCCCUCGGUGGAGUAGCGACAGGAGUUGUGGAUAUGCCAAUUGCAGCAGCUAAAGUCUUUUAUACGUGUGGCAGUGGAGGUGGAGGAGUCUUGACUUUCGCUUUUAUUUUUAGACUUAAGUUUUUAGCUUUAAAUUUUACAUUAUAUGAUUUGAUUUCUUUUCUAUUUCUUUUCAGUGUUUUCUUCUUUAAUAAA